ensembl:snRNA U6 U6 spliceosomal RNA
UUGCUCGCUUUGGCAGCACAUAUACUGAAACCGGAAAUACAGAGAAGAUUAGCAUGGCCCCUGCGCAGGAUGACAUGCAGAUUCGAGAUGCAUUCCACUUUUUU